rnacentral:rRNA from 1 species
UACGUAGGGUGCAAGCGUUUGUCCGGAAUUAUUGGGCGUAAAGAGCUCGUAGGCGGUCUGUCGCGUCUGCUGUGAAAAUCCGGGGCUCAACCCCGGACUUGCAGUGGGGUACGGGCAGACUGGAGUGUGGUAGGGGAGACUGGAAUUCCUGGUGUAGCGGUGGAAUGCGCAGAUAUCAGGAGGAACACCGAUGGCGAAGGCAGGUCUCUGGGCCACUACUGACGCUGAGAAGCGAAAGCAUGGGGAGCGAACAGG